rnacentral:misc_RNA from 1 species
UACGUAGGGGCCGAGCGUUGUCCGGAGUUACUGGGCGUAAAGGGUGCGCAGGCGGCGCGUUCAGCCCGGCGUGAAAGCCCCCGGCUCAACCGGGGAAGGUCGUCGGGGACGGACGUGCUUGAGGGUGCCAGGGGCUGGUGGAAUUCCCGGUGUAGUGGUGAAAUGCGUAGAGAUCGGGAAGAACACCCGUGGCGAAGGCGGCCAGCUGGGGCACACCUGACGCUGAGGCACGAAGGCGUGGGGAGCGAACGGG